UGAGCAAUCUGCCCUUCUCAUCGGAAUAAGCGUUGGAAACGACGUCUAAUGCCGAAUACGACCUCCUUUCGCAUGAUCGGAGGUGGAAAGCUCCGGCGGAGAAGGAUGAGCUCGCGGCCUAUCAGCUAGUUGGUGAGGUAAUGGCUCACCAAGGCGACGACGGGUAGCCGGCCUGGAGAGGGUGACCGGCCACACUGGGACUGAGACACGGCCCAGCUCCGUAGG
rnacentral:rRNA from 1 species